CUGGAUGCUGACGAGCGGCGGACGGGUGAGUAAUGCAUAGGAAUCUGCCCGAUAGUGGGGGAUAACCUGGGGAAACCCAGGCUAAUACCGCAUACGUCCUACGGGAGAAAGGGGGCUUCGGCUCCCGCUAUCGGAUGAGCCUAUGUCGGAUUAGCUAGUUGGUGAGGUAACGGCUCACCAAGGCCACGAUCCGUAGCUGGUCUGAGAGGAUGAUCAGCCACAUCGGGACUGAGACACGGCCCGAACUCCUACGGGAGGCAGCAGUGGGGAAUAUUGGACAAUGGGGGGAACCCUGAUCCAGCCAUGCCGCGUGUGUGAAGAAGGCCCUCGGGUUGUAAAGCACUUUCAGCGAGGAAGAACGCCUAGCGGUUAAUACCCGCUAGGAAAGACAUCACUCGCAGAAGAAGCACCGGCUAACUCCGUGCCAGCAGCCGCGGUAAUACGGAGGGUGCAAGCGUUAAUCGGAAUUACUGGGCGUAAAGCGCGCGUAGGUGGCUUGAUAAGCCGGUUGUGAAAGCCCCGGGCUCAACCUGGGAACGGCAUCCGGAACUGUCAAGCUAGAGUGCAGGAGAGGAAGGUAGAAUUCCCGGUGUAGCGGUG
rnacentral:rRNA from 1 species